rnacentral:rRNA from 1 species
AAAUCUACUCAUAAUGUCAUUAAUGGAUGCCUUGGAGAUAUUGACCGAGGAAGGACGCAUACGGCGGCGAUACGCGUCGGGGAGGAGCCAAAAUCCUUUGAUCCGGCGGUUUCCGAAUGGGGCAACCCUCCAGCAUGUCUGGAAACCUGCAGUAAACAACGUUGAUUUAUCAAUGUAAUAGCUGUUGAGUUGGGAACGGCUCGAACUGAAACAUCUCAGUAGGGCCAGGAAUAUAAAUCAUAUGAGAUUCCGUCAGUAGCGGUGAGCGAAAGCGGAACAGUCUAAACCCGUCCAUUGGACGGGGGUUGCAGGGCAAGCGAUAUUCGAUGUGAACAUAGAUAGCAGAAGGACUCGGAAUAGUCCCCCAUAGAGCGUGAAAGGCGUGUACGCGAAAUUUAUGUUCCCGAUAGCAUGUACCUAAGUACCAUGAAGCACGAUAAACUUUGUGGGAAUCUGGGCCGACCACGGUCCAAGACUAAAUAUCAAUAUCUACCGAUAGUGAACUAGUACCGUGAGGGAAAGGUGAAAAGCACCCCGGGAGGGGGAUGAAAUAGAACUGAAAUUAAUGACUAACAAGCAGACAAAGUGCGAGCAAUCGUAUGAUGUCGUGCCUAUUGAAGAAUGAACCUGUGAGUUAUUGUGUACAGCGUUAGUUUAAGCUACGAACGUAGCGAAGACAUAGUGAAAGCGUGGCCUAACCGGCCGUUAGUUGUAUGCAUUAGACCCGAAACUAGGUGAGCUAACCAUGAGCAGGCUGAGUCCCGUCGAAAGAUGGGAGGAGGGCCGCACCCGUAUACGUAGCAAUGUGUUGGGAUGACUUGUGGUUAGGGGCAAUAUGCCAAUCGAACCUAGAGAUAGCUGGUUCUCCCCGAAAUAUAUUAUGGUAUAGCGCCUUGUUAAUUACUCUGCGGGGUAGAGCACUGAAUGGUUCGUGGGGGAGCAAUCUCUCGCAACCAAUCAAACUCCGAAUACGUAUGAAUGUAUCAAGGUAGUCAGGCUGGUCGGGCUAAGCUGAUCAGUCGAAAGGGAAACAGCCCAGACUCCCAUUUAAGGCCUCUAAAUCAAAGCUAAGUUUUGAAGGAAGUCAAGAUCCAGAGACACCCAGGAGGUUGGCUUAGAAGCAGCCACCCUUUAAAGAUAGCGUAACAGCUCACUGGCGGAUGGUUCUUGGCGCCGAAAAUGUAUCGAGGAUUAAGUUUUGUGCCGAAAUUGGAGAUUUGUAGCAAUACAAGUGGUAGGGGAGCGUUCUAUUUGCAGUGAAGUUGGUCUGUAAGGACUGGUGGAGCGGAUAGAAGUGAGAAUGCAGGUAUGAGUAGCGAUAUGAUGGUGAGAAACCAUCACACCGAAAGCCCAAGGUUUCCUCCGCAAUGUAAGUCAGCGGAGGGUUAGUCGGCCCUAAGGGUCUUCCUCGUUAAAGGGGAUUAGCCCGAUGGAUAACCCGUUAAUAUUCGGGUACAGAUUAUGUGUAUUAUAAGGGGGUACAGAGUCGGAAGAGCAUUGCCGCAUCCGUGCGGUCUAAGCAACGAGAUAGAGAGAAUUGGCAAAUCCGUUCUUUCGUUUUAAAUCGAGUUGUGAAUGAGAGUCUCCAAGCAAUUGGGGGCAAUUUUGCAGCUUUCAGUUCUCCAGAAACGCCUCACUAUGACACCGCAAGGUAGUCAAAACGCAUAAUUUACCGUACCGCAUUACCGACACAGGUGGGCUGGUCGAGAAGACUAAGGUGAUCGGGAGAAAGAGGUUUAAGGAACUCGGCAAAAAAGCUAGGCGUAACCUUUGGGAGAUGCCUUUCCGUAAUUAGUUUUACGGACACAGCAAAAGAGUAUUUAGCGACUGUUUAUCUAAAACACAGGUCCCUGCAAAGCCGAAAGGCAACGUAUAGGGGCUGACACCUGCCCAGUGCCGGUAAGUCAAAAAUGGUGGAUGAUCCUCGCAAGAGGUGAGUUUGUUAUUUAAGCUCCGGUGAACGGCAGCAGUAACUAUAACUGUUCUAUGGUAGCGAAGUUCCUUGUCGGGUGAGUUCCGACCCGCACGAAUGGUAGAACGACUGAAUAACUGUCUUAAACCUCUACCCGGCGAAAUUGAGAUGGCUGUGAAGACGCGGCCUAAACAUACAUGGACAAAAAGACCCCGGGAGCUUUACUGUAGCUUGGCAUUUGCAAGCUUAUUUCAACUGUUUAGAAUAGGAGGGAGAGCAAUCGAAAGUGAAAUACCUCUCUUUGGAAUGAGUGAGCAUUACUCUUAGCCGCACAAAAAUACGGCAAGGGAACAGUGUCUGGUGGGCAGUUUUACUGGGGAGGUAGACUCCUACAACGCAACGGAGUCGCACAAUGGUCGGCUAGUUCCGGAUGGAAAUCGGAACGAUAGCGCAAUGGCAAAAGCCGGCUUGACUGCGAGACUUACAGGUCGAGCAGGUACGAAAGUAGGUCAUAGUGAUCCUGUGAUACCUAGUGGUAGGUACACAGCUUAACGGAUAAAAGCUACCCCGGGGAUAACAGGCUGAUCGCAUCCAAGCGUCCACAGCGACGAUGCGGUUUGGCACCUUAAAUAACAUUGGGGCGCCUAUGAAGUAAUUCAUAAGCUUGGUUCUUAUAUACACUGAGACGAAGUGGUAUAGGGAAAAAUUUACUAGUCAAAAUCGGUGGACUCCACUCAGUUAGAGGGGACAAUACCGAGGGAAGGUCGCUAAGCGGCCCCCGUAUCGACUGAUUCAAAGUAGUGUCAUUAAUGGGCUUGUCAGCUGUAAAAAGCUAGGCAAAGAUUCAUAAGUCAACGAUUCCUGCAGAUGCGGGAAGCAGAUGAUGAUACGAAACGAUGAGAUAGAAGGCUCGUUACACGCAAGUGUGGCAAUAUAUAGCCUCUAUAAAAGACUAGCUCCUAGCGAAGGUUAGGAUGAAGGUAUAGUCAACGCUCUUGGUGACAAGAGGUUUAAUCUAUCAAGAAUAGAGAGCGAUGUCGGCUCAUCACAUCCUGGGGCUGGAGAAGGUCCCAAGGGUCCGGCUGUUCGCCGGUUAAAGUGGUACGCGAGCUGGGUUCAGAACGUCGUAAGACAGUUCGGUCUCUAUCCUGUAUGUUCGUCGAAAUUUGAGGAGGUUCGCCCCUAGUACGAGAGGACUGGGGUGAGGGAAUCCCUGGUGUGCCGGUUGUGGUAUGUAAGUACUGCAUCGCCGGAUAGCUAGAUUCCCAUCGGAUAACCGCUGAAAGCAUCUAAGUGGGAAGCCGUCUCCAAGAUUAGAUUUCAUGUACCGCAAGGUACGAAGACCCCUUAAAGAUUAUGAGGUUGAUAGGCGGGCGGUGGAAGCAUAGUAAUGUGUUGAGCCUACCCGUACUAAUGGUCAAGUAGUAGAUUUUU